GAUGAAGAACGCAGCGAAAUGCGAUAAGUAGUGUGAAUUGCAGAAUUCCGUGAAUCAUCGAAUCUUUGAACGCACAUUGCGCCUUUUGGUAUUCCGGAAGGCAUGCCUGUUCGAGAGUCAUUAACAACCGUUUCGAUCCCUUUCUUUCAGAAAUUACAAAGAGGAAAAGGGUUUGGUUAUGGUGGAGGAGGGAAAGGGAGCGUUUAGCCUGUAAAAAAAGAGGCUGUGUUCCGCCUCCCCCCCAAAAUUGUACAGGCGGUCGUGUGCGCCCACGCAUCGAGGUGUUGUAAAAGCUGCCACGGCACUUUUCACCUGUGCAGUGCGAGAUUGGCCAGCCGGUUUAAAAACCCCUCCAAACAAUCAAAGGUUGACCUCGGAUCAGGUAGGGAUACCCGCUGAACUUAAGCAUAUCAAUAAGCGGAGGA
rnacentral:misc_RNA from 1 species